UGUGUGUUGUGUGUGUUGUGUGUGUGUGUGUGUGGUGUGUGUGUGUGUGUGUCCGUACUCACUAACACGCACACACACACGCACACACAUAUAUAUAUACACAUAUAUGCUUAUACAUUAUAAUAUACAUAUAUGUAUAUAUAUACAUAUAUAUAUACAUAUACAUACACACAC